UACGUAGGUGGCAAGCGUUGUCCGGAUUUACUGGGCGUAAAGAGCGCGCAGGCGGUCGUUCAAGUCGCGUGUGAAAGCCCCGGCUCAACUGGGGAGGGUCACGCGAUACUGAUCGACUCGAAGGCAGGAGAGGGAAGUGGAAUUCCCGGUGUAGUGGUGAAAUGCGUAGAUAUCGAGGAGGAACACCGAUGGCGAAGGCAGGUCGUCUGGGCCACUACUGACGCUGGAGAAGCGGAAAGCAUGGGGAGCGAACAGG
rnacentral:rRNA from 1 species